AGGGUCACAGCUCCGCCAAGCAGGAAAGGGACUCGUGGUGUUGCCAACCCUGCUCCGUCGGCCGCGGUGCCGGUGCGGGGGACAGUCCCCCUCAGGGGCCCAGCCCGGUCACCGCCGCGGUGUGGUCCCCGCUGUGGACGCGCCCACGUGGCAAUGAAAACAUGUUCUUGGUGAGGAUAAAAAAGGAAAUGGGCAAAAGACGAAAAGGACAGGCCACCGAAGAGGACACACAGAGGGCACGCAGUGACACGUGGCUGCCGUCAUCAGCGUUCAGGGAAACGCCAGUGCGAACCACGAAGUUCAGUCAGCAACUGGUCCACCGAAAGCAGUUUGCACGGGCGGCGGGCAGCCAAGAGGACGGCUCUGCUCACCGUGGUCUGCUCCCCCCGCCAGAGAGAAGCUCCUGGGGUCACCCCACUCUGCCUCCCUCCAGCACAGCUGGGGAGAGGCCAGCACAGGGGCGCAUGCACCCACCGUUGUGGCUACAAGUACCUGGGAUGCAGAUUGCUGGCCCAGCCCCUCCCGUCAAGAACCCCACAGUCCCAUUCCAUCCGGUACUGCUUGGACCUAUUCGGCCUACAAGUGUGGAAAGAGCUGGUUUGCUCACUUCUGUGAGAGUGUGUGUGUGUGUGUGUGUAGUGUGACAUGGGUAUGGGACGAGGACUCUCUGGGGUGCGUGUCUGUGAGAGAGUGAGUGAGCGAGGGAGUGGGAGGGUGCCUGGCAUUGUGGGGUCCUGACGGCCCCCAUUUGUGUGUGUGUGUCUGCGGUGAGCGGGGGCCUGGUGUGCGGCACAGGGUUGUGUGGGCUGCGGCACUACAGGCGAGAUGGGUCUCUCUCUUCUGCGUGGUGUGGGUGAAGCGGUUACCUGAGUCCUCUGUCUGAAGGGGAAAGGUGCGUACCUACUUCUUCAGUGUGUAGUGUGUGAACCUUGUUCGCUGUGUGUGUGUCUGGUGUGAGACUGGUGUGUGUUAGAUGCAACACUGUGAGGGGAGUGAGAUUUCUCGCUAUUGCAAGCCAGGGAGGUGGCCUGCUGUCCCCACGGCCCCACGUCCCCACGUGUGUGUUCCCAGGACACACGGUGCAGGGAAGAGGCAGAGAGCGUCUGUCCUGCCAGGGGCAGCCACACCUACAUCUGGGUCCUCCAGCUGGCCCCCAGCGUCGGGCGGCAUCUGCCCCUGCGGUGCCGUGCGUUUUGGAAGAAGAGCCUUGAUAUUAGGAAACUCACCCAUCCGCUUUCUGCAGAGAAGAAACUUCUCUUUACUCUGGAUCAUAAGCAAAUCCCCAGGGAGAGAAGGCAGGGGGCAUCUUCCUGCCUGCCCUAGACGCCUCCCAGACAGUCGUUCUGAACGUGGCUGUGAAUGGCUUCUCUCCGAGGACCGGGACAGGCAGACACAGACAUGCGAGACGUCCACGGACAGCUGCUUCCCCACGGUAUCUAUUUUUUAAAGAAUAUUUUGAGGUGAGUAUCCAUUUUUGGGGGGGUGUGAACUUUUCAUGAUGGAUCUUCUAGCAUCGUGCUCUGAGGUGUAAAGUAAGUAUCGUGUGUGUGACUGAGUGUCUACUUUACUUGUGUAAAGUGCAAGAGUGUCUAACUGUGUUCUCUAUAUGGUUGAAAUUAGUACCUCAUUUUUCUGUCGGUCGAGUGGCAUGAAAUUUUGCAUACAGUGUGAGAUAGUUAACAGGUUUUUCUGGUAGAUACUGGAAAUGUAUUCUACAUUUUGUGGGUGUGUACUGAUAUGUGUCCAUUUGCAUACAUGUGCUAUGAAUUGACGAUCUAAUAUUUUGCAUAUGGUAUGAAAUAGAUACCUCGUUCUUGGUAUGUAUGGUGAGAGAGGAUAUAUAACCUUUCAUUUUUGUGUUUUUGAGAUGAAUAUCUGUUUUCUGUAUUGUGUAAGAUCAUUAUGUAUGUAUGCAUGUGUGUAUUUAUGGUGUGAGUUACUUAUCUAAUUUUACAUUUUUCCUGUGAGGAAAAAUGUGCAGCAGUUUCAUUUUUAUUAGUUCUAAGUAUUUUGUAGUCUCUUUGUUAUAAGGACUUUUUUGAGGUAUAAUCCUCACAUCACACAAUUCAUCCAUGAAUGUGUACAGGUCAAUAGAUUUGAGUAUAUUUACAAAUGUGUCAACCAUAACUACAAUCAAUUCCAAAGCAUUUCAUCACCCCAAAAGAAACUUUGUUCCCAUUACGGGUAACUGCCCACCCCCAGCUUCCCAGCCCCUGGGAAUCCCCGAUCUGCUCUCUGUGUCUUGGCUGUCGUGAUUGUGAACACUGCGUGUAAAUAGAAUCAUAACACGUGGUCUUUUGUGAUGGUUUUCUUUCCCGAGCCUCAUGUUUUCAAGGUUCAUCCAUGUUGUAGUGUGUAUUAGUACUUCCCUUCUUUUUUGCCAAGUAAUAUUUCAGUUCAUGGGUAUGCCACACUUCAAGGGUAUACCACACUUUUUUUAUCCAUUCAUCGGUUGGCGUGUGCGCUGUUCCCACCUUAGGGCCAUCAUGGAUGUUGCUACUGUGAACACUGUGUUCUGAUUUGGGGGCAGACGUACGUCUCUUCUUAUACCAGCACCACGCUG